AUCCAUGCCACUCUGCGCCAUCUUACACAGUCCAAGCCAAUAAG
rnacentral:sRNA from 1 species